AACGAACGCUGGCGGCAGGCUUAACACAUGCAAGUCGAGCGCCCCGCAAGGGGCGCGGCAGACGGGUGAGUAACGCGUGGGAACGUACCUUUUGGUUCGGAACAACUCCGGGAAACUGGAGCUAAUACCGGAUAAGCCCUAACGGGGAAAGAUUUAUCGCCGAAAGAUCGGCCCGCGUCUGAUUAGCUAGUUGGUGAGGUAACGGCUCACCAAGGCGACGAUCAGUAGCUGGUCUGAGAGGAUGAUCAGCCACACUGGGACUGAGACACGGCCCAGACUCCUACGGGAGGCAGCAGUGGGGAAUAUUGGACAAUGGGCGCAAGCCUGAUCCAGCCAUGCCGCGUGAGUGAUGAAGGCCUUUGGGUUGUAAAGCUCUUUUGUCCGGGAAGAUAAUGACUGUACCGGAAGAAUAAGCCCCGGCUAACUUCGUG
rnacentral:rRNA from 1 species